rnacentral:sRNA from 1 species
CUGACGCACAGGACGUGCUAGGGAUCAUGGAUGAUCGACCACCGCCAGGACGGCGCUCCAACGAGUUGGAAUGGUCAGGAAAAACCCGCCUCGGCGGGUUUUUU